AUGCCGGCCUUGCCGGAUGCGGCCGUGCUGGCCUUCUACCUCGCCGACGGCUUCGCCAAGAUCCUGGUGCCGCUCCUCUGCUUCCUCGGCAGCGCCGGGCCGUCCACCCGCAGCCCCGCCGUCGACGACGCGGCCGCCUUCCUCCUCCUCCUCCUCCCGACGGUCUACCUCGCCGGCGUCAUCCUCGCCCACUUCGUCGGCGUCGUCCUCGCCCACCUCCACCUGGCCACCAUAACUGCGGCUUCCGCCGGUCCGGCGCGGCUCGUCGCUCUGCUCUUCACGCUCUUCUCCAUGCUACUUCUCCUCAUUGCUGUGCCGUUCGCCGCCGUCUACGUCUUCCUCGGCGCCGGCAAGCGCGGGACUGGGCCGGGGUUCAGCGAGAACGUGCUCAGCUAA
rnacentral:rRNA from 1 species